rnacentral:misc_RNA from 1 species
UACUGAGUUGUCGGCACGAGCUGUUGCUGGUCCUCAAACAUGGGGGCAUGUGCACGCUCUGUUCACACACAUCCACUCACACCUGUGCACCCUCUGUAGUUCUAUGGUCUGGGGGAUGCCCCGUCCUCCUCCUGUAGUUCUACGUUUUUACACAUACACCUUAGUAAAGUCUUAUGGAAUGUGCGCUGCGUUUAACGCAAUACAAUACAACUUUCAGCAACGGAUCUCUUGGCUCUCGCAUCGAUGAAGAACGCAGCGAAAUGCGAUAAGUAAUGUGAAUUGCAGAAUUCAGUGAAUCAUCGAAUCUUUGAACGCACCUUGCGCCCCUUGGCUAUUCCGAGGGGCAUGCCUGUUUGAGUAUCAUGAACACUCUCAACUCUCAUGGUUUGCCGUGAUGAGCUUGGACCUUUGGAGGUUUUGCUGGCCUGCAGUCAGCUCCUCUCAAACAGAUCAGCUUGCCAGUGUUUGGUGGCGCCACAGGUGUGAUAACUAUCUACGCUUGUCGUCGUCUGCCAAGUAACCUUUGGUGACAGAGGUUUGCUGGAGCUUAUAAACGUCUCCCCUCAGCGAAGACAGCUUUUGAACGUUCG